GGAUGAACGCUGGCGGCGUGCCUAAUACAUGCAAGUCGAGCGAACGGACGAGAAGCUUGCUUCUCUGAUGUUAGCGGCGGACGGGUGAGUAACACGUGGAUAACCUACCUAUAAGACUGGGAUAACUUCGGGAAACCGGAGCUAAUACCGGAUAAUAUUUUGAACCUCAUGGUUCAAAAGUGAAAGACGGUCUUGCUGUCACUUAUAGAUGGAUCCGCGCUGCAUUAGCUAGUUGGUAAGGUAACGGCUUACCAAGGCAACGAUGCAUAGCCGACCUGAGAGGGUGAUCGGCCACACUGGAACUGAGACACGGUCCAGACUCCUACGGGAGGCAGCAGUAGGGAAUCUUCCGCAAUGGGCGAAAGCCUGACGGAGCAACGCCGCGUGAGUGAUGAAGGUCUUCGGAUCGUAAAACUCUGUUAUUAGGGAAGAACAUAUGUGUAAGUAACUGUGCACAUCUUGACGGUACCUAAUCAGAAAGCCACGGCUAACUACGUG
rnacentral:rRNA from 1 species